ACACUUUCGUUGAUGAAGAGAGUACUGAUUUUCGAUUGUUUUAAGCGAGUUGGGACGGUGAGAGCCAGCAGCAAAAAAUCAGGAAACGCACUUCAGAGAAAAUAAUUCGAACUGCAGUAGAAUUAUUCGGUUUUGUUUGCCGUUAUCUAAAAACAAGUGGCUUCAUUUUUGAUGAAGCAACAAGAGUGGUACCGCGGGCUCAACCUCGUCUCUUUU
rnacentral:ncRNA from 1 species